GACAGAGGUGCCGAGCGUUAGGCGGAAUCACUGGGCUUAAAGCGUGUGUAGGCGGAUGCCUAAGUACCUUGUGAAAUCCCACGGCUCAACCGUGGAACUGCUUGGUAUACUGGGUGUCUUGAGCUGUCUAGGGGCGACCGGAACAAACGGUGGAGCGGUGAAAUGCGCAGAUAUCGGGAGGAACACCAAUGGCGAAGGCAGCUCGCUGGGACGGUACUGACGCUGAGGCGCGAAAGCGUGGGGAGCAAACGGG
rnacentral:rRNA from 1 species